UACGGGGGGAGCAAGCGUUGUUCGGAUUUACUGGGCGUAAAGGGCGCGUAGGCGGCCACUGCAAGUCAGUUGUGAAAUCUCCGGGCUUAACCCGGAAAGGUCAACUGAUACUGCAGGGCUAGAGUGCAGAAGGGGCAACUGGAAUUCUCGGUGUAGCGGUGAAAUGCGUAGAUAUCGAGAGGAACACCUGCGGCGAAGGCGGGUUGCUGGGCUGACACUGACGCUGAUGUGCGAAAGCCAGGGAGCGAAGCGGG
rnacentral:rRNA from 1 species